UNGGUAGCCAAAUUCCACAAUUCUGCGC
rnacentral:piRNA from 1 species